CAAGCUAUAGUUUAAUUUGAAUUUCGGCCUUGGGUGUCGAGGGUGGAAGUGGAAGUCUUUCUUGCUUGA
rnacentral:tRNA from 1 species